rnacentral:rRNA from 1 species
UGAGGAAUAUUGGGCAAUGCCCGCAAGGGUGACCCAGCAACGCCGCGUGGAGGAUGAAUGUCGUAAGAUUGUAAACUCCUGUUAGAGGGGAAGAAUAGUACCGGUUGGACCGGUAUAUGACUGUACCCUCAGAGAAAGCCCCGGCUAACUACAUGCCAGCAGCCGCGGUAAUACGUAGGGGGCAAGCGUUGUCCGGAUUUACUGGGUGUAAAGGGCGCGCAGGCGGGAUAAAAAGUCAGUGGUGAAAUCCUACAGCUUAACUGUAGAACUGCCUUUGAUACUUUUAUUCUUGAGUUCGGGAGAGAGAGACGGAAUUCCAGGUGUAGUGGUGAAUUACGUAGAUAUCUGGAAGAACACCAGUUGCGAAGGCGGUCUCUUGGUCCGACACUGACGCUGAGGCGCGAAAGCGUGGGGAGCAAACA